rnacentral:rRNA from 1 species
AGUGAACGCUGGCGGUAGGCCUAACACAUGCAAGUCGAACGGCAGCACAGUAAGAGCUUGCUCUUACGGGUGGCGAGUGGCGGACGGGUGAGGAAUACAUCGGAAUCUACUUUUUCGUGGGGGAUAACGUAGGGAAGCUCACGCUAAUACCGCAUACGACCUACGGGUGAAAGCAGGGGAUCUUCGGACCUUGCGCGAUUGAAUGAGCCGAUGUCGGAUUAGCUAGUUGGCGGGGUAAAGGCCCACCAAGGCGACGAUCCGUAGCUGGUCUGAGAGGAUGAUCAGCCACACUGGAACUGAGACACGGUCCAGACUCCUACGGGAGGCAGCAGUGGGGAAUAUUGGACAAUGGGCGCAAGCCUGAUCCAGCCAUACCGCGUGGGUGAAGAAGGCCUUCGGGUUGUAAAGCCCUUUUGUUGGGAAAGAAAAGCAGCAGGUUAAUACCCCGCUGUUCUGACGGUACCCAAAGAAUAAGCACCGGCUAACUUCGUG